CCUCCAAGCAAUUUCCCAGUGAUCUUGCCCUGUGCCUUGGGAGGAGAGCAAGUCCUGUGAUGCUGUACAGGCACUGGCUGCUUUGGUCUAUCUCAGUGCUCAGAUCUUGGCCCCCAAGUGGACACAGAGACCUGGAUUGGCUGAUAAACCCACUGUCACCCAGAAAGUCUGGUACACAGCUUCCCACAGGACAUUUUCCGAGUCUCAGUGUGAGACCUGACCUCAACCUCUCUGUGGAUAAAUUUCAGAUUUAAAAUUAAACAUCAUGAUCCAGCAGUGCCUCUGCUUUGACUGUGAUCCAGACCAGAGCUACAAUGGAAGACUGGGCUUUUCUCGCUCGUUACACCUCCCAUAUGGAGUCCAUUUCGAUACCACACAACUAAAUCAUGAGCACGUGGUCAAUGAUAAGAGUUGCUGACAUACAAGAGCAGACAAGCAGUGUGGACCUCCAUCCUUGGAACCAUCUUACAAGGGACCAUUUGGGAAGCACAGGCACCCAGAACAGACAGCUGCAGCGGCCGUUGUACACUGUGCUGUGCACACACUGCCCAAGCAGUGGGUCUGGAGAAAGCUGAGCUCAGUGCAUCUGCUGGUGAGCAAUCUGUGGUAGAUCACUGCACCCAAACAGGGUCGAUGCCGAAAUGAGGCUGUUCCUUGCUGUUCCAUCCAAAGACAUGGAGCUCUCACUGAGUAAAACCCUGAUCUCGUGAUAGCCCUCUAGACAACUUCUUUG